GGCGCCUGGAGCAGCGCCGGACUCCAGGGUCGGCCGGGCCCGGUUCAGGCAGCGGCGGGUGAGGUUCCAGGAGUGGACCACCAUGUUUCUGUUUCCAAAAUGUUCAAGAUAAAAGGUUUGCAUCCAUGAAACAAGAAUCCCUGCUCCUCCUCCUCUAGAUGCCAGAAGGCCAUGCUGUACUCUGCUUCUAGGAGUCUGCAUAGCACAGGCACCUCACACAGAGUCUCCCGAAAUUCAGACUGGCUUCCAGGUGGCUGUGCAAUGCAGUGAUGGCCUUGAACUACUUACCCUCCUACUUCAGAUCCGAGUGCUAGGAUUGUUACUGAAGAUAUUAAGUCUCAGAGCUUAGGCCCUAAGGGUCCCAAUAACAGACAAGUAUAGAGGAAAGCAGUGUGGCCAUACUGGGAAGGGGACUGUUUAGGAGGGGUCGGUCAUCUUAAAUCUCUUUGUUCUUCUUCCCAACAUGGCUUCAUUGAAUAAAUCAUUUUUUUGCUUUGU
rnacentral:lncRNA from 1 species